rnacentral:rRNA from 1 species
UACGAAGGGGGCUAGCGUUGCUCGGAAUCACUGGGCGUAAAGGGUGCGUAGGCGGGUCUUUAAGUUAGGGGUGAAAUCCUGGAGCUCAACUCCAGAACUGCCUUUGAUACUGAGGAUCUUGAGUUCGGGAGAGGUGAGUGGAACUGCGAGUGUAGAGGUGGAAUUCGUAGAUAUUCGCAAGAACACCAGUGGCGAAGGCGGCUCACUGGCCCGAUACUGACGCUGAGGCACGAAAGCGUGGGGAGCAAACAGG